UGGUUUAACAGGAGAAGUCUUUCGAUGAUGGGAAGGCAGUCGUCGAAGCUCUGAAAAGCAAAGGUAUUUCGGCGAUCGGAGCGGUCGGCAUUUGUUGGGGUGCCAAGGUUGUGGUUGCACUUGCGAAGGUCGAGUUGAUUCAAGCUGCUGUGUUGCUUCAUCCGUCUUUGGUUACUGUCGAUGACAUCAAAG